rnacentral:lncRNA from 1 species
UUCAAGUCGACCAGACAUUCAAGAGGAGACUCACAGUUCAAAAAGCCCUACUCUACUCCAACUCAAACGUGUUUGAGGGCUCUUAACUUCUCUCUAGUUUAUAUCGCUGUAUAUCUGCUUUUUAGAAGCUCUGUUUUUCGGUUUGUGUCUGUUCUUUCCAUCUUAUCUUUGCUUGAUUCAAUCAGGGGGUUGAAUCAAGAGUGCGUAGAGGUUGGUUGGUGAGCCGAGGGUAAAACCAACGUGUAAGGAUUCGAUUGUGAUCCCGGAAAAACAAUCGGGGUGGUUCUAGUCGGUGAGCCUGAGAAAACCGACCGAGUUCGUUGUGAGCUCGUAAAACAACAAGUUGGGUUGUGAGCU